AAAAGCUGCUAUAAAUAAAAUGACAGACAACACAUUGAUGUCUUUGAAUUACACAAAGCGAAACCUCCAAGCAAACCAGGCAACUCAACUUUGUAGAGCCCAACCACCCCCUGGGCCGCAACUAAAUGAUUAGCCCCAAGAAGCAGCCAUACUGGAGUGUGCCAAAGCGGCAGGAGUGCAUCAAGUCUGAAUGCUUCAAGACUCCUCGUGCCUCCAUGUUCUUUAGUUAGUUUGCAAAGCAUCAAAAAGACCAAAAAUAAAGAAAUGUUAUAAAGAAA